UACGUAGGGUGCGAGCGUUAAUCGGAAUUACUGGGCGUAAAGCGUGCGCAGGCGGUUCGUUGUGUCGGCGGUGAAAGCCCCGGGCUCAACCUGGGAAUGGCCGUUGAAACUGGCGAACUGGAGUGUGGCAGAGGGGGGUUGAAUUCCGCGUGUAGCAGUGAAAUGCGUAGAGAUGCGGAGGAACACCGAUGGCGAAGGCAGCCCCCUGGGCUGACACUGACGCUCAGGCACGAAAGCGUGGGGAGCAAACAGG
rnacentral:rRNA from 1 species